UGCUGUGAGCGCUUAUAUAAGCAGUGCGG
rnacentral:piRNA from 1 species